rnacentral:rRNA from 1 species
UAGGGAAUCUUCGGCAAUGGACGAAAAGUCUGACCGAGCAACGCCGCGUGAGUGAAGAAGGUUUUCGGAUCGUAAAACUCUGUUGGUAGAGAAGAACGUUGGUGAGAGUGGAAAGCUCAUCAAGUGACGGUAACUACCCAGAAAGGGACGGCUAACUACGUGCAAG